UACGUAGGCAGCGAGCGUUGUUCGGAAUUACUGGGCGUAAAGAGUGUGUAGGCGGUGUUCCCAGUCUGUUGUGAAAUCUCCCGGCUUAACUGGGAGGGUGCAGCGGAAACUAGAAUGCUAGAGGGUGGGAGAGGUAAGCGGAAUUCCUGGUGUAGCGGUGAAAUGCGUAGAUAUCAGGAGGAACACCUGUGGUGUAGACAGCUUACUGGACCACCUCUGACGCUGAGACACGAAAGCGUGGGUAGCAAACAGG
rnacentral:rRNA from 1 species